CAGUUUGCUCCUGGGGCCUGCUGAGCCCCCCUGAAAACAUUAGAGUUUCUGACCCCUGUCAAAGGGGAGUGUGGGGUUCUUCUCAAGGAAAUCUGCUUUUCUGAGGUGACUUAUGCCUGGCCCACCCCUCUUCAGGCGGUCCUUUGCAAAGUGCUCUGGGAAUGAUACCCUCUUUGAAACACCAGGUACAUUAUGCAGAGCAAGUCAAUGGACGAGGUCCUCUGGUCUACCCCCUCCUCUAACCGUGGUUUUGGAGAUGGUCACCAGAGUGGCCAGCAGGCGGCAGCGCUGCAAGAGGUGGCGGGAGGGCCCGCCUGUGGCCUUCUCUCAUGUCAUCCGCCUUGGGCUCAGCUGAGAAGGAGACUGGCGGCAGCUGCUCAGGUCACCCUGGUAAUCGGAGCGUGCUGGGUGCGAGAAUCACUCCCUGCAAGAGCUAAAAGCCAAGAACAGUGUGGGACCAACCACGCUGGCACUUCUGAGCCAGCUUGCUGCUGCAGAAAGCCCUCUAAAAAUAGCCUGCUCAGGGCUGAUGGCGGCUAUCGGCUGGAACCCAGGAAAAUCCGCUUCAGAACGGGUGGAAUCCUCUUCUGUGUCCUGCUGCUUACUGGGACCCAGAGGCGGGUUGGGGACUGGUGAGAAUGGUGAGGGCCACGACCCUACCAGGAGAAAUGUGGAGAGAGACAGAGCCCUGACUGGAGACCAGUCGAAGGUCGGAGAAGCCAAGGAAUUCCGCCUGUCACUGAGGCCUGGCACAGGGUGUGGUUCUGUCUCGGGUGGGCCACGGGAGGCUGACCGUGAAUUCUUGGCUUAGCUGGGCAUUCAAAGUCUCAGGGUUCUGUCCUAAAGUUCCCCGCAGAGACCCCUGGCAGAAGGUCUGGCUCCAGACAUCUGCUUUACCAGACACAUCCUGCCUUGGCCCCUCCCCUUCUCAGCCUAUCCAGCCCUCCUUAGCUCAAAAGUGUCUUCCUUCUUCCAGGAGGACCUCUGGUCCAGCUCAAAGCAUCAGCUCUCCUCCAAGUUCCAGCCUGCCCUGGGAGACUCUCCCCACCGCACCCCGCCAUCAGGAGCUCAGCUUUCCUCCCCAGUGUGAUGCCAGAUGCUGUGGCGUCUUGAGCAAGUCUAUCCCUGUCUGGGUAUCCAUGGGAUCAAGGCCCAGACAUCUGGCUCAGAGGCCUGUCUGAUUGAAGCCUGUUCUCACACCCUGUUGUGACGUUCUGUAACUGUCACCAUGCUCAUGUGCAGUCCUGGACAGGAAGAAUCUGAGACCUGAGCAUGAUCACUAGACCAGGCCCCCCUCAGGGGGCUGGAGGUCCAGUUUCUGCUCACAUGCCUCAUGGGAUGGGGUGCUCACCGCUUCCCAAGGCAGCCACCUCUGCUGCCUGGCCUCUUUCCUCUUCGUCCUCUGGGGUCCUGCCUCUGCCACAGUUCAGAGGGGGUGGUCUCCACCCUGGCUAAGGGGUUCACACACUCCUGAGAGGAGGGCAUGGCUCACAGGACAAAUCUUACCAGACAAAUCUUACCUAAUGCUUGCUGGGGCAGGACUACAGGAAGAAGAAACAAGGACACUUGGGCCAGAGAUGCCACCAGCUGCCUGCUUUUUCUCAGCCUGAUGAAGCUGAGGGUAGAGGCCUAGAGGAGAGCCCAGCGGGCAAUGGGGCUUGAUCACUGAGGACAGUGGUCCCUGCCCCUGCUGGGGUCAGCUGGCAGUAGUUGGAAUGCUGGUGGGUGGGAACUCUCCUCUCUCCCACACUUGGUCCUGACAUGUCCCUGGCACAAAACCACCUUCCUUGCUGUGGGCAGGCAGGAGGGCGAGGGAGCAGGAUUUCCUAUUGCUCUUGAAAUUUGGGGUCCAAGAAGGGCUGGGAGCACAAGUCUGGACCGGCCAGGACUCUGCUGGGCCUGGGGUGGAGACUGUGUCCUGGGCCUCAACUCUCUAUCUGGACAAAUUUGAUUAUUUGAAUUGACAGGGUCCCUGGGGUGGCAGCGGUUGAGACUCUAGCUGAGCAGGCUUCAGCAAGCUGCUCAGGCUCCCUGUGUCUGUGUCUCAGUCCCUAUACUAUAAACUGGGAUGAGGAUACAAUGUCCCUGAGCAGAGCCUUAUAUAAAUGUUGACUGUUAUCAUUGUUACCUGGCUAGGCCCUUUUGAGGUGUUUUUAUUUAUUUUAUUUUUUUGGUACUG
rnacentral:lncRNA from 1 species